CCCUGUGCCAAAAAGAGUCCUGGGCACUGAGAAAUAAAGAUACAUUAUGCUACCUAUCAUUGGACACGUAAGAAUUGGAGGCAAAGAAAUGUGAAUUUGUAGAAACCUAGGCCAGCUUGCUCUCUGCAGGCUCAAGAUCAACCAUACUACAUAG
rfam:Dipodomys ordii contig_94686, whole genome shotgun sequence.